GACGAACGCUGGCGGCGUGCUUAACACAUGCAAGUCGAACGGUAAGGCCCUUCGGGGUACACGAGUGGCGAACGGGUGAGUAACACGUGGGUGAUCUGCCCUGCACUUCGGGAUAAGCCUGGGAAACUGGGUCUAAUACCGGAUAGGACCACUGCCUGCAUGGGUGGUGGUGGAAAGCUUUUACGGUGUGGGAUGGGCCCGCGGCCUAUCAGCUUGUUGGUGGGGUGAUGGCCUACCAAGGCGACGACGGGCAGCCGGCCUGAGAGGGUGACCGGCCACACUGGGACUGAGAUACGGCCCAGACUCCUACGGGAGGCAGCAGUGGGGAAUAUUGCACAAUGGGCGCAAGCCUGAUGCAGCGACGCCGCGUGAGGGAUGACGGCCUUCGGGUUGUAAACCUCUUUCAGCACCGACGAAGCGCAAGUGACGGUAGGUGCAGAAGAAGGACCGGCCAACUACGUGCCAGCCGCCGCAGUAA
rnacentral:rRNA from 1 species